rnacentral:rRNA from 1 species
UACGUAGGUGGCGAGCGUUGUCCGGAUUUACUGGGCGUAAAGGGAGCGUAGGCGGAUUUUUAAGUGAGAUGUGAAAUACUCGGGCUCAACUUGAGUGCUGCAUUUCAAACUGGAAGUCUAGAGUGCAGGAGAGGAGAAUGGAAUUCCUAGUGUAGCGGUGAAAUGCGUAGAGGUUAGGAAGAACACCAGUGGCGAAGGCGAUUCUCUGGACUGUAACUGACGCUGAGGCUCGAAAGCGUGGGGAGCAAACAGG